rnacentral:lncRNA from 1 species
AACUGCCCCCUUUGGCUUCCCGGACAAUCCAUCUACGCGCCGGCGCUCUCCGCACCGCACCCACCCAUCGAAAUUCCACUUCGCCUAAUUCCAAAUCGCCAAGGCCGAGCAGCAGCAAGCAAAGCCGCGCCGGUGAGGCUGGCUGUUGGAGAGGCAUGCCGCCUAAAUCCGAUAGCGUUGAAGGAAUCGUCCUGGGUUUCGUAAAUGAGGUGCGGUCUCUCUCUCCCCUGAACCCUACCCUAAACCCUUUCUUCUGCUUGCGCGAUUAGGAUUCGGUUAUCCCUCCGUGUGGUACUUAUGAAUUGUUCAGGAACCGUUAGGAUUGCAUGGAUGCGACAAAGCUGACUGGAGUAGUAGUCUAGGUGUAUUGAUUGUGCUUGAUGGCAACACGCUGUUUGAUGAAUACUGGCCAUUGUCAUUACUUUUCUUUCUAUAUGUUCAGUUGGAGUUAAUUAGUAUCAUAUGAAAACCCUGGUCCCAUUCCGAUUAAUCGUCAAAUAUCUACAUCAUCAAAUUAAUUUCAUUAAAAUCCACCGAGAUAUACUUGAUAUUGCAGUUGCUUGAUUUCCUAGAGGUUAAUACGGAUAUGGUUUUCAAUAAAUUAGGUCGAAGGUAGAGAAGUUUGACUUGUGGCAAAACAAAUAUAUUACGUUUUGGAAUGGAG